AACGAACGCUGGCGGCAGGCCUAACACAUGCAAGUCGGACGGGACCUUCGGGUCUAGUGGCGGACGGGUGAGUAACGCGUGGGAACGUGCCCUUUGGUUCGGAAUAGCCCCGGGAAACUGGGAGUAAUACCGGAUAAGCCCUACGGGGGAAAGAUUUAUCGCCAAGGGAUCGGCCCGCGUUGGAGUAGGGAGUUGGUGAGGUAAUGGCUCACCAAGCCGACGAUCCAUAGCUGGGUUGAGAGGACGAUCAGCCACCCUGGAACGGAGACACGGUCGAGACUCCUACGGGAGGCAGCAGUGGGGAAUAUUGGAAAAUGGGCGCAAGCCUGAUCCAGCCAUGCAGCGUGUGGGAAGAAGGCCUUCGGGUUGUAAAGCACUUUCAGCGAGGAGGAAGGGGUGAGGUUAAUAACCUUGCCGAUUGACGUUACCCGCAGAAGAAGCACCGGCUAACUC
rnacentral:rRNA from 1 species